rnacentral:rRNA from 1 species
UUAAGUUAUUAAGGGCGCACGGUGGAUGCCUUGGCACUAGAAGCCGAUGAAGGACGUUACUAACGACGAUAUGCUUUGGGGAGCUGUAAGUAAGCUUUGAUCCAGAGAUUUCCGAAUGGGGAAACCCAGCAUGAGUUAUGUCAUGUUAUCGAUAUGUGAAUACAUAGCAUAUCAGAAGGCACACCCGGAGAACUGAAACAUCUUAGUACCCGGAGGAAGAGAAAGAAAAUUCGAUUCCCUUAGUAGCGGCGAGCGAAACGGGAAGAGCCCAAACCAACAAGCUUGCUUGUUGGGGUUGUAGGACACUCUAUACGGAGUUACAAAGGACGACAUUAGACGAAUCAUCUGGAAAGAUGAAUCAAAGAAGGUAAUAAUCCUGUAGUCGAAAAUGUUGUCUCUCUUGAGUGGAUCCUGAGUACGACGGAGCACGUGAAAUUCCGUCGGAAUCUGGGAGGACCAUCUCCUAAGGCUAAAUACUCUCUAGUGACCGAUAGUGAACCAGUACCGUGAGGGAAAGGUGAAAAGCACCCCGGAAGGGGAGUGAAAUAGAACCUGAAACCGUGUGCUUACAAGUAGUCAGAGCCCGUUAAUGGGUGAUGGCGUGCCUUUUGUAGAAUGAACCGGCGAGUUACGAUUUGAUGCAAGGUUAAGCAGUAAAUGUGGAGCCGUAGCGAAAGCGAGUCUGAAUAGGGCGUUUAGUAUUUGGUCGUAGACCCGAAACCAGGUGAUCUACCCUUGGUCAGGUUGAAGUUCAGGUAACACUGAAUGGAGGACCGAACCGACUUACGUUGAAAAGUGAGCGGAUGAACUGAGGGUAGCGGAGAAAUUCCAAUCGAACCUGGAGAUAGCUGGUUCUCUCCGAAAUAGCUUUAGGGCUAGCCUCAAGUGAUGAUUAUUGGAGGUAGAGCACUGUUUGGAUGAGGGGCCCCUCUCGGGUUACCGAAUUCAGACAAACUCCGAAUGCCAAUUAAUUUAACUUGGGAGUCAGAACAUGGGUGAUAAGGUCCGUGUUCGAAAGGGAAACAGCCCAGACCACCAGCUAAGGUCCCAAAAUAUAUGUUAAGUGGAAAAGGAUGUGGCGUUGCCCAGACAACUAGGAUGUUGGCUUAGAAGCAGCCAUCAUUUAAAGAGUGCGUAAUAGCUCACUAGUCGAGUGACACUGCGCCGAAAAUGUACCGGGGCUAAACAUAUUACCGAAGCUGUGGAUUGUCCUUUGGACAAUGGUAGGAGAGCGUUCUAAGGGCGUUGAAGCAUGAUCGUAAGGACAUGUGGAGCGCUUAGAAGUGAGAAUGCCGGUGUGAGUAGCGAAAGACGGGUGAGAAUCCCGUCCACCGAUUGACUAAGGUUUCCAGAGGAAGGCUCGUCCGCUCUGGGUUAGUCGGGUCCUAAGCUGAGGCCGACAGGCGUAGGCGAUGGAUAACAGGUUGAUAUUCCUGUACCACCUAUAAUCGUUUUAAUCGAUGGGGGGACGCAGUAGGAUAGGCGAAGCGUGCGAUUGGAUUGCACGUCUAAGCAGUAAGGCUGAGUAUUAGGCAAAUCCGGUACUCGUUAAGGCUGAGCUGUGAUGGGGAGAAGACAUUGUGUCUUCGAGUCGUUGAUUUCACACUGCCGAGAAAAGCCUCUAGAUAGAAAAUAGGUGCCCGUACCGCAAACCGACACAGGUAGUCAAGAUGAGAAUUCUAAGGUGAGCGAGCGAACUCUCGUUAAGGAACUCGGCAAAAUGACCCCGUAACUUCGGGAGAAGGGGUGCUCUUUAGGGUUAACGCCCAGAAGAGCCGCAGUGAAUAGGCCCAAGCGACUGUUUAUCAAAAACACAGGUCUCUGCUAAACCGUAAGGUGAUGUAUAGGGGCUGACGCCUGCCCGGUGCUGGAAGGUUAAGAGGAGUGGUUAGCUUCUGCGAAGCUACGAAUCGAAGCCCCAGUAAACGGCGGCCGUAACUAUAACGGUCCUAAGGUAGCGAAAUUCCUUGUCGGGUAAGUUCCGACCCGCACGAAAGGCGUAACGAUUUGGGCACUGUCUCAACGAGAGACUCGGUGAAAUCAUAGUACCUGUGAAGAUGCAGGUUACCCGCGACAGGACGGAAAGACCCCGUGGAGCUUUACUGUAGCCUGAUAUUGAAAUUCGGCACAGCUUGUACAGGAUAGGUAGGAGCCUUUGAAACGUGAGCGCUAGCUUACGUGGAGGCGCUGGUGGGAUACUACCCUAGCUGUGUUGGCUUUCUAACCCGCACCACUUAUCGUGGUGGGAGACAGUGUCAGGCGGGCAGUUUGACUGGGGCGGUCGCCUCCUAAAAGGUAACGGAGGCGCUCAAAGGUUCCCUCAGAAUGGUUGGAAAUCAUUCAUAGAGUGUAAAGGCAUAAGGGAGCUUGACUGCGAGACCUACAAGUCGAGCAGGGUCGAAAGACGGACUUAGUGAUCCGGUGGUUCCGCAUGGAAGGGCCAUCGCUCAACGGAUAAAAGCUACCCCGGGGAUAACAGGCUUAUCUCCCCCAAGAGUUCACAUCGACGGGGAGGUUUGGCACCUCGAUGUCGGCUCAUCGCAUCCUGGGGCUGUAGUCGGUCCCAAGGGUUGGGCUGUUCGCCCAUUAAAGCGGUACGCGAGCUGGGUUCAGAACGUCGUGAGACAGUUCGGUCCCUAUCCGUCGUGGGCGUAGGAAAUUUGAGAGGAGCUGUCCUUAGUACGAGAGGACCGGGAUGGACAUACCUCUGGUGUACCAGUUGUCGUGCCAACGGCAUAGCUGGGUAGCUAUGUGUGGACGGGAUAAGUGCUGAAAGCAUCUAAGCAUGAAGCCCCCCUCAAGAUGAGAUUUCCCAACUUCGGUUAUAAGAUCCCUCAAAGAUGAUGAGGUUAAUAGGUUCGAGGUGGAAGUAUGGUGACAUGUGGAGCUGACGAAUACUAAUCGAUCGAAGACUUAAUCAA